GCGGACGUGGUGAAAUGGUAUACACGCUACCUUGAGGUGGUAGUGCCGCAAGGUGUGGAGGUUCAACUCCUCUCGUCCGCACCA
rnacentral:tRNA from 1 species